GAGUUUGAUCCUGGCUCAGGACGAACGCUGGCGGCGUGCCUAAUACAUGCAAGUAGAACGCUGAAGAGAGGAGCUUGCUCUUCUUGGAUGAGUUGCGAACGGGUGAGUAACGCGUGAGUAACCUGCCCUGGAGUGGGGGACAACAGUUGGAAACGACUGCUAAUACCGCAUAAGCCCACGGCUCGGCAUCGAGCAGAGGGAAAAGGAGCAAUCCGCUUUGAGAUGGCCUCGCGUCCGAUUAGCUAGUUGGUGAGGUAAUGGCCCACCAAGGCGACGAUCGGUAGCCGGACUGAGAGGGUGAACGGCCACAUUGGGACUGAGACACGGCCCAGACUCCUACGGGAGGCAGCAGUGGGGAAUAUUGCACAAUGGGGGAAACCCUGAUGCAGCGACGCCGCGAGGAGGAAGAAGGUCUUCGGGUCGUAAAGCUCUGUCCUCAAGGAAGAUAAUGACGGUACUUGAGGAGGAAGCCCCGGCUAACUACGUGCCAGCCGCCGCGGUAAUUC
rnacentral:rRNA from 1 species